rnacentral:rRNA from 2 species
UGGGACAGAUGAUUAGGGUGAAGUCGUAACAAGGUAGCCGUAGGAGAACCUGCGGCUGGAUCACCUCCUUU